rnacentral:rRNA from 1 species
UACGUAGGGACCAAGCGUUGUCCGGAUUUAUUGGGCGUAAAGAGCGUGUAGGCGGCUGGGUAGGUCCGUUGUGAAAACUCGAGGCUCAACCUCGAGACGCCGAUGGAAACCCCCCAGCUAGAGUCCGGAAGAGGAGAGUGGAAUUCCUGGUGUAGCGGUGAAAUGCGCAGAUAUCAGGAAGAACACCCGUGGCUAAGGCGGCUCUCUAGUACGGUACUGACGCUGAGACGCGAAAGCGUGGGGAGCGAACAGG